GUUGGUCUGGUGUCUGUGAUGACUUG
rnacentral:piRNA from 1 species